GGGGACGAAAGGGUUCGACAGGGAAGGUUGAGCCCGGAUUGCAAGCGGAGAUUGCCAUGCUCUCCUUAAUCAGGUGGCAAAUAUAACUGGCACAAACCAGUACGCUCUCGCAGCUUAAUCUAAGCUACGACGCCUGACCCGAGCCUCACCCCGAUGGGCUGGACCAGGUGACGCAAUGUCGGGGUGCUGUCUCUCCCACGCCGAUAGAGGGAGGCCCAAGACUUAUCGGCUGGCCCACCGGUGACGCAGCCGCGGCGGUACGGCGGGCGAGAUUAAAGCGUCGGCUAAGCUUGUAGGAUAUCUGGGGAGGCUUUCGUCUGGACGAGGGGUUCAACUCCCCUCCGUCUCCACCA
rnacentral:tmRNA from 1 species